CAUUGAGAUUUUUAAUUUUGAAUUGGUUGUUCAGUUAUCACAAUCCUCAGCACUUCCUCCAAUCACCCCGCUAAUUUAGCUUCCAUGAUUCCAUUUAACAUUAAUUCAAAUUCUUUCAGCGGCGACAUUAAUUCAAAUCCUUCACCGGGGACAUUGAACUGAAGCCAUCUUCUGUUUUCGUCGGAGUGUAAGCAGUUGCUAUGGAUGCAUCUGUCUUUCUUCUUCAAGCGGCCGGUAUUGAUCGCAAGGAUUCCUUCCCUAUGAUUGGUUUGAAUUACGUUACUCGGAAAAAGAGAAGUUACAGAAUUGUGGAAAAGCGAGGUGCAAGAAUCAUUAGAAAAUAAAACCACGGAGAAAACAGUUUCUGGAUAAGGAAGAUCAGAUUUGGAAGGAUCAGGUUAUGAACUUCAUAUUUUGGCUUAAACAAAUUCUUACAUCUUAUGGACUGUUUUCGAAUUUGAUUGAACUGGUUUUUGUCUGUCAUAGGACGAUGCCGUAGGAGAACUGCUCUAGGUGGCAAAGAUUUAAUUUUGUCAGGAACUCUGACAACCGUGAAGCGGAACUUGGGAUCAGCUUGCGCAUGAUGCACCUUUCUCUGCAAUCUGUUGAAAAACCUUUGAAUCAGUGAACUUCUACCCACAAUUUUUUCAAUUUGGUAUAUUGUGGUGGUACUACUUUUAAAUUACUCUUUUGUCAUACUUUCAUCUACAGACUAGAAGAACACUUUUAGGUAAGGUGGGUGAGGAACCCAACAUGGUUAGUGUUAUUGGGGCAAAGUUAUCUGCAGAUUUUGUUGCGAGAACUCUUACUACAGGUCCACUGGAUGUUGCAAAGACUAGAAGGCAAAGAAGGCAAAUAGAUGUUUGUUUUGCUUAUUGACUUUAUCAAUCUUUGUGAAUGCAACAUACUUAAAGAAGUUGAUAGGUGGUUGCUGAGGAAACUGGUUUCACCAGGGAUGAGAUGGUUAGCAGCUAGGGAUCUAAAUUUUUUGAAUACUCAUGAAGUUGGUGGGCAUGUAAAGUUGCAAAGUGCAUGUGGGAGUUGUUCUGAAGUGUCCAAAGCAGGCUGAUCAAGAAUAACAAUAGUAAAGCCAAUCUUUAGUGAAAGUUGUAAGAAUUGUCUUUGUUUCUUUGUUCUGGAAUAGUAAAGCCAAUCUUUAGUGAAAGUUGUAAGAAUUGUCUUUGUUUCUUUGUUCUGGUAGUAUGCUCUAAGAAGCAGGAUCUCUGGUCUUUCUUUUUACGUAGAUUGAAUUGUACUUUCA